rnacentral:rRNA from 1 species
GUAGGUGGCAAGCGUUGUCCGGAAUUAUUGGGCGUAAAGCGCGCGCAGGCGGCCCUUUAAGUCUGAUGUGAAAGCCCACGGCUCAACCGUGGAGGGUCAUUGGAAACUGGGGGACUUGAGUACAGAAGAGGAAAGCGGAAUUCCAAGUGUAGCGGUGAAAUGCGUAGAGAUUUGGAGGAACACCAGUGGCGAAGGCGGCUUUCUGGUCUGUAACUGACGCUGAGGCGCGAAAGCGUGGGGAGCAAACAGGGAUUAGAUACCCUGGUAGUCCACGCCGUAAACGAUGAGUGCUAAGUGUUAGGGGGUUUCCCGCCCCUUAGUGCUGCAGCUAACGCAUUAAGCACUCGCCUGGGGAGUACGGCCGCAAGGCUG